rnacentral:rRNA from 1 species
GACGAACGGCUGGCGGCGUGCCUAACACAUGCAAGUCGAGCGGGGUUGAGGCGAGAGGUAACUCGAGCUUCUACCUAGCGGCGGACGGGUGAGUAACGCGUGGGCAACCUGCCUCAAGGUUUGGGAUAACAGCCCGAAAGGGCUGCUAAUACCGGAUAUGCCUAUGGCCUCGCAUGGGGCUAUGAGCAAAGGGGAAACCCGCCUUGAGAUGGGCCCGCGUCCCAUCAGCUAGUUGGUGAGGUAACAGCUCACCAAGGCGACGACGGGUAGCCGGCCUGAGAGGGUGACCGGCCACACUGGGACUGAGACACGGCCCAGACUCCUACGGGGGGCAGCAGUGGGGGAUCUUGCACAAUGGGCGAAAGCCUGAUGCAGCGACGCCGCGUGAGCGAAGAAGGCCUUCGGGUUGUAAAGCUCUGUCUGGAGGGACGAACAAAAUGACGGUACCUCCGGAGGAAGCCACGGCUAACUACGUG